GAUUAUUUCUCACAGCGGAGAGGUGGUUAGAAGAGGAGUCGUCGGAGGUGGAGGUGGAGGUGGGGCAAGAGGUGGUGGAGAGAAAGACGUUGGUCGGGUAGAAAAGGUAAACAAGGAGAAUGCAGAGGAAGAAGAAGAAAAAGAGGCGGGGGAUAGAAAAACAGAGGAAAGGGUUAGAAUCUUUGGACGGAGCAAGGGGGAUGGAGGGCUUGCCAUUGCCCCAUCCUUCCUUGCUUUUCAUGGUCGCCGCUGCUGCAGAGGAAUCAAGAAGAAUGGACGCUUCUCAAUCAAUUAUGAUGAAGAGUUUGGCGAAAUGAGGGAUGUGAAGAAGGGUUUGACGUUUUGCUGUGAAUUGAAGAUACCAUGAGAGAUGAAGGAGAAGUCAGGGGUCGGAGGAAUUGCUGCAGGUGCGGGGCGGAAGGCAGGAGAGAAAGGAGAAGCAGAGAAGAACAGAGGAGAGGAAGGUCUCGUGCACAGCGAACGCAUCCUCGCUGCUGUUGAUGCUUCGUAAGCAAACUCUUGUCCUCAGAUCCACCUUCCACCCUUGCAAAUGCGUCAAAGUGCAAUCUUGCAACACAUAUUCUUUGCAGACGACCGAUACUAAUGUCGGUUCUUACUCCUCUCCUGACCCCCCGCCGCCGCCGCAAGAUAUAAUUUCGCUGAACAAACUGAUCAGCGCACGCUCGAAAGCAGGUGAUUUGAUUUCCGCGCAGUGGCUGUUCGACAAUAUGCCCCAACGAGAUGUGGUUUCAUGGAAUUCCAUCAUGUCUGGUUACGCCCAACACGAACGGUAUGACAAGGUGCUGAAGACUUUUUCGGGCAUUGGUGAUGAUGGCUUGGUGCCUAACCAUACUUCUAUCUGCACUGCGUUGUCAGCUUGUGCUAAUAUCCGAGCUUUGGCUCAGGGAAAGCAGAUACAUGGGAUUUCGACCAAAACAUGUUCUUCGUGUAAUGUGUUUGUCGGCACUUCUCUGAUCACCAUGUACUCGAAAUGUGGUGAUUAUGAAUGUUUGAUCCAGGCCUUCAACGAAAUAGAUCGUCCAAGUGUCUCAUCUUGGAAUGCUUUGGUCUCAGGUUUUGUUCUAAACCUUCUGGUCGAUUAUGCACGCCAGAUAUUUGAUAGAAUGCCUGUUCGUAAUGUUGUUUCUUGGACAGCAAUGAUUCAUGGAUAUAUUUUGAUCAAGAAAAUAAGCAAAGCGCUAGAGUUGUUCAAGUUGAUGCCCGUCAAGAAUUCAGUAACUUGGUCAGUAAUUGUAGGGGGUUUGGCUAGUAAUGGAAUGUAUGAAGAGGCAAUUAAACAAUUCGUUAGAAUGAUUGAUCAUGGAUUCCAAUCUAGUGCUGCUAGUGUUAUUAAUGUCAUCAGUGCCACAUCUGGAUUAAAAAAUGUCAAACAAGGAAGAAAAUUUCAUGGCCAUGUAAUCAAAGUUGGACUUCAUUGUUAUGAGAGCAUUGAAGCCUCGUUGAUUGCAAUGUAUUUAAGAUGCUUGAGCAUAGAAGAAGCAAUCUUGGAGUUUAGGAAGAUGAGGAGCAAUUUUGUUGGUUCAUGUAACACCUUAUUACAGGGUUUCAUAAACAAUGAUAAGGUUGAUGAGGCAAGGAUAUUUUUUAAUGAUAUGAAACAACGAGACAAGAUCUCAUGGAAUUUGAUGAUCAAUGGUUACUUAAAAAAUAAGAGAAUGGAUGCUGCCUUUGAGUUGUAUUCAAAGAUGCACGAACCUACUGUUGAGGCAAGUACUGCUAUAAUGCUGAGCUUCAUACAAGAUGGACAUCUGCAUGAAGCACAGAAUUUAUUCAACAUGAUGCCUGAGUUGGAUGCAGUAGCAUACACUACUUUGAUGUAUGGUUAUCUAGAAUAUGGUUCACUUCAAAAAGCCAUGGAACUUUUCACAAAGAUGCCUGAACAUAAUGUUGCAACCUAUAAUAUGAUGAUUUCUGGCUUGUUGAAGCAUGGGGAGAUAACUAAAGCUUAUGAUAUGUUCAAUCAAUGCCCUAGACACAAUUCUUCUUCAUGGGAUAAUUUGAUAACUGGGUUUGUCCAAAAUAAUUUGCUAGUUGAGGCUUUUCUGCUUUACAAGAAGAUGCUACUAUCUGGUAUAAGCCCUUCAGAAUUGGUGACUACUGCCCUUCUCUGUGCUUCAUCCAAGCUAGCUAUAGUGAUUCAUGGAUUGCAGAUUCAUGCUGUUGCCAUUAAACUUGGUCAUGAAUCAUGCUUGGUGGUUGGCAAUUCCCUAAUAAAUAUGUACUGCAGAUUUGGAGAUGUAUUGACAGCUAAAUCAAUUUUUGAGCAAAUGACAGAGCAUGAUGUGGUGACAUGGAAUACAAUGAUUUAUGGAUACGCAUUUAGUGUUUCUGGUGAGAAUGCUAUGAAAUUGUUUGAUGAUAUGAGAACUAACAAUGUAGCUCCUGACUCCGUCACCUUCCUUGGCAUAUUGACUGCUUGCAAUCAUAUGUGUUUGUUUGACAGAGCUCAGUACUACUUCAAUUUAAUGACACAGGAAUACAGAAUCAUGCCUGAUGUAGCACAUUACGCUUGUAUGAUUGAUCUUUUAUGUCGGAUGGGUAUGGUGGAGCAAGCUGAAAGGCUAAUCUCUUCGAUGCCCUUUCAACCUGAUCCAAAGAUCUGGACUUCACUUUUGUGUGGUUGCAGAAUAAACUGUAACAUUAGAUUGGCAACACAUGCAGCAAACGAGCUAUUAUCAUGGGAUCCAAAGAACCAAAUGCCUUUUUUACAUCUUAUAAAUGUGUAUGGAUCAGCUGGCAGAUGGGAUGAUUUAGAAACCUUGAGGAAACAGAUGGAUCGUUCAAAAUUUUACAAGCCACAAGGUUGCAGCUGGAUUUGAGCAUGCAUUUGUCAACAUCUCUUGUACUUUGAUAGGUAUCAGUUACAAAUGCUCCCUUCAGUAUUAUUUCAUCUUUGGGAUUGAAAGAUAUGAGGAUAGUCAGAUAAUUCCUGUUUUGUAUGUGAAUAGUUUUGCUGACCAUUGAGAGUCAACGCCCUCCAAUGGUUUCAAAGAGAUUUGCCAAAGGUC